GUGGGGCUGUAGCUCAGUGGUAGAGCUCUUGCCUAGCACUUGCAAGGCCCUGGGUUCGAUCCUCAGCACCACA
rnacentral:tRNA from 1 species